UGACUCCGCCGAGCAUCGGGAGAGGACAUGCUAGUUUCACUCCAUGUGACGGGAAGAGCAAACGGUGGAUGGAAAUUACUGAUGCGAUUACAGGUGGAAAAACAGGGUGGUUAAAAAGCUGGAUCUAAGAUACAACAUCCCAGAGGACCGGCAAUUCACACGUUCGCAGGUGGGUGAGAUGAAUGAGUGAGACCCUAAUGCGCAAAUGACCUGAGAAGACCAUUACCUCCCGAGAGUAAGAUGAAUGCAGGUUCUGGAUGUGCUGCUGAAAGCCUAUUAAGAGAUCCAUAAAAAAAUGGAAGACAGCAUUCCCUCGCAUGUACUUUACUGCGGCGAGUGGACUGGUGAGAUGCAGGCACGUCUGUUGUGGAAUACAGUGUGUUGCAGUGACUGUCUUCUUUUGGAAGGAAAGCCUAGCAGCGAGCAGAUGAGAAAGGAAAGCAGCAAGCGCACUCUGGAGAGAAACAGUAACAGUGAUGGAUUGUUCAUAAGGGAAAGCUGAGAUACACAAAGCUCUGCCUCGUGGAUGAUGGCAGAGGUAGGAAUUAACAGCAGCUGCAGAUUAAAGUAAUGUUCCUGCUUUGUUCUUGUUGUCUCUAAGUACCAGGUACUCACAUUUGCUACCCCUGCUACCCUAAGCUGACACGGGUGAGACACAAAGACGGAUGACCAGAUUCUUAUCCUCUCUGCAGAGGAUGAAGAGGAAUGUCGAAAUGACUGAAUAUCAAUUCCCCACUUCCGCCCACCUAAAACCAUACAGUGCUCGCGCUGGCGCCGGCCUUUAAAAACAACGCAUUCUGUAGAAUUGUCCGACAGCGAGAUGACAGCAUUGCAGAUGAAGCUCGGCGCGCUGAGAGAGAGUGAAACCGCGGGGUUGCCUCAGAGUGUAGGAGAAAUGUCAGACUCAAAGGAAUAUUUGAAUUCUAGAAACGGGGGGAUGAAUGUCCUCGCCUGGCUUUGGAUAAUAGACCAAUCAAACAUUCAUGAGUCCCUGUAUCAACCUGCGUGGCAGAGUUUGUGCAGUUGACCUUAAAAGCAGUGCGGUAUUCCAUCAGGGGUGCUCUGAGACAGAUUUCUGUACAUGACCUCACCGCCUCACAGCUAGCGCCAACACCUAAAAACAGGGACACGCUUGGACACACAGGAACUGACACACAGUCAAAACAGACACUUGUUUGUGUGUAUAUGUGUGUGCGUAGGGCCUUUAAUUUGACAUCUAGUUAAAC